GAGAGAGAGAGAGAGAGACUUGUUCCUUGUUUUGUUGGCCAAUAUGGCAUUAAAAGUUACAUUGGCAAUUGCCUAGAAGUAAAUAAAUUUUGGCUGAUAUCAAUUCUCAUCUCAUAGUCAGCUUUAGAGCUAAAGAAUUGUUGUUGGUUCUUUUGUCUUUGUUCAUAAGCUUUUUAUCAUUUAUUACCAACAAUUAUAAAAUUUUGCAUGACCAGAAGAGCUAUUGAAACCAGAAAAUAGACCAAUGUGAUGUCAGACUCAUUAAGCUGUGCGUUCAAUGAGAAAUUUUUGCUUUUUGUUUGAUUGAAGUUUUGUGUUGCGUUUUGCAAAAUGGAUGACUCAAGCUUAAUUUGCUUCAUGGAAUGUAGACUGAUAGUUAAUUUGGUUCCAAAUAAUGACAUUAUUGAACUGCUAAACUUAAAAACUUGUUUUCCACAAGGAAUAAAUUUUAUAUUACUAUUGCACAGACCCCCUCCCCCUCCACACCCACCUACUCCUUGCAUGCAUGCACACUAUCAAGAUUGAAGAAAACCAUUAUAUCUCGUGUAGUUAGGGAAAGGCUUUGCAAUUAUAUCAAGUUCUUCUGGGUUCUUGCUGCUAAUCUAGGUAAAAUUUUCAAUUAUUAUGUGGUCACUGAACACUUAAAUGUCUGAUCUGGAUGCUAUUUCUUUGUACAGAAACCUAUAGUUCCAACUGAUUUGUACAGAUCAGUGCGUGAUUCACAGCUUAUAGGAAUGUCGGGUUACUCAAUAGAGGUGCUAAUUUUAUGUUUGAAUUUAUCAUGCUUAUGGUUUUUUUAUUUAGUUUAGAACAAUUAAGAUACUGCUGUAUCUUGCUCAAUGAUGCACCAAAUAUUUGUUUACAUUUUCUAGAGGAGUGUAUGCUGUCAGAAAUUCCUUAACUUAUUCUGUCUUCUUCAGGGGCUUCCAGUCUUUGCUUUUGGUGUUGGGCUCAGCACAUAUGAUAAAGCAUCUGUAAGUAUCACGAUAAAUGUCUUCCUGAUUUUUCAUUCUGACAGCUCUUUAAAUUUAGAUUAGUAAUUAAAUCUUAAUGAGGUGUUUUGGAGUAUUCUGACUUUAAGUAUGAUAAACGAUAACACUGUUGUCCAUUUCUUAUUUCAUCACAGGUCCACUACUAUGUUCAGUCGCAUAUUCAAAUAAAUGAAUAUCGGGACCGUAUAAUUCUGCCUUCUGCUUCAAAAAAAUAUGGGCGACCAAUAACCACCUGUGUGAAGGUUUUGGAUAUGACUGGUUUGAAGCUGUCAGCACUUAGCCAAAUAAAGUUGCUGACAAUCAUAUCAACUGUUGAUGACUUGAAUUAUCCUGAGAAAACAAAAACAUAUUACAUUGUAAAUGCCCCAUAUAUAUUUUCAGCAUGUUGGAAGGUUGUAAAGCCCCUCUUACAAGAAAGAACAAGGAGAAAAAUUCAGGUGUUGCAAGGUUGUGGAAGAGAUGAAUUGCUAAAGGCAAGCAAAUAUAACUAAUUAUUGUUUCUAAACUCUCUCCUAAGCAUGCACUCUUCUAUUUUUAUCUUCUAAAUGGACCUUACUCCAUGUUUACACUAAAAUAUCUAAAAAUAACCAUGAAUUGAAAGUACAUUUUUACAUGGUUGAUUGCUAAUAUAAACGUGGUUAUGUCAUAUUUAUAUUCUAUUGAAGUACAAUAAAAGUAGGUUUGGCAAAGCCACACCUUCAAAUGAGGUUGCCUAUAUAACUAAUUAUCUUUGUAAGUCAUUCCUGUCAAAGCAAUGAAGCACUCGUACGAUCAAUCCCAAAUUGUUUUCCUAAAAGGUAUUCCUUGACCCUCCAACACAGCUGCCUAUAAGAGGGCUAGUUUGUCUGCCCUAGGGUACUUGGCCAAUAAUGAUAUUAUCGUGCUAGUCAUGAUGUUCCCUAGUUUGUGUUGUCCAUGAUUUACUAUUCUGUUGUUCAUUUUGUUUCCCUUUUGUAAUUUGUGUUGGUGUUAUCCAUGAUGCCAACUAAAAUUGUUUUCAUUCUUUUAUCCAUUGCAGAUGUUCUAUCUAUUUAAGAAUGCUAAGUACAUCUGUUUCCUCCAUGAUCAAAGUAAUCUGAAGUUUGACCCUUUUGAUUUCAUUUCUACGCAGAUUAUGGAUCAUACAUCCCUUCCACAUUUUUUUAGAAAAGGAUCUGGCUCAUCUCACUGCAUAGGGAACGGAACUAUUGACAAUUGUUUCUCCUUGGAUCACGACUUCCAUCAACAGGUAUACAAUUACAUCCAACAGCAAGCCGCUCUUCUAGAAUCAGUUUCACCAAUCAAGCAGGGGUCAGUCCACGUGGAUAUCCCAGAGUCAGACUCAGAAGAUGCCAAGAUUGCUAAGACAAUCGAAUCCGAGUUCCAAAAGUUUGGGGGUCUGAAUGGACUCUCUAACUCAUUAAAUGGCCUUAAAGUUGAAAGUUGAAUAAUAUCAACUUCGAAUCCUUGAUAACACACCAGAUCCCCAACUCUUGGUGGCUGAUUGAUCCUGACAGCUUUGGUGGCAACUCUUUGUACUUGAGUUACCCAAUACGUUAGUGCUCACUUGCAUCAGCUCGAUGCAGGAUUGGCAAGAUAAAGCUCUAAUAUUUUUGUAAAUUGAUAUUACCAAUUUGGAGUGGACAAUUAUAACUAUGGCAUUUUAUGACCAUUUUACUCUGAUGAUAGAGUAAAAACUAUUGCAUUAUCUGUUGUCUCUGAAGCUAUUGCAUUUGCAUGCCAGUAUAUGUUAUCUCAUGCCCUG
rnacentral:misc_RNA from 1 species